UGGAUGCUGCGUCUUGUAAGAAAGAGGGAGGAGGCGAUACUUAUAAAAAGAGCAGCAAACCAACUGUAGUCAGUCAUAGACGUGUCGUAGUUGCUUUUUGAAUUGACGACAUCAUUCGGCCAUCCUUCCAAUAAAGAAACGAAGUCGAGGGACAUAAUGGCAGCCGUCGUUCAAAAGUCGUCGUCCAUCCUCUUCUUCUUAUCCGUUUGGAUUUCUUUCUUUGUGGUGGUGUCGAGCCAGGCAAGUGAUGGCAAGAAAAUCGCGCUGGGCAACAUCCAUCUUUGCAUGAUGAAUUGCGGUCAAUGUAAGGAAAUGUACGGCGAUUACUUUGAAGGGCAACGCUUGCGCCGAGUUCUGCUUGGCCAGCUACAAGCCAUCAGCGAUGAUCAGUGGCUGGGCACCGAUGCCUGACUGCAACGAGCCCGAAACGGUGGAUCAAUUCCUCAAACUGUCGCUGAUGCCUCAAUCGGACGGCCCAUCAGCC
rnacentral:misc_RNA from 1 species